rnacentral:rRNA from 1 species
AUGUCUCUCAGCUGGUGCUGGUUCUUGGUCUUGGUCGGGGUGUGGUGGCUGCGACUGAUGCUCGUGGUGGCCGAGGAGCAGCAGGGGGGAGGCUGCUCGGCCAAGAUGUGUGGCAAUGUCAUCAUCUUCCAUCCGUUCUGGCUCACAGACAUAGAGAUGGGAAGAUCAUGCGGUUCUGCUUCCUACCAGGACUUCGAUGUUGCCUGUCUUAACCGCAGUCAUCCAACUCUACGGAGCUCUGUACUCUUCAACAUCGGCUUUGAAAUCCUCAGCAUCUCUUACGACCAACGCAGCUUGUAUGCGGUUGAUCUGGACAAGCUGGAUUUAUGUCGUGCCCGCAACAGCUGCCAUGUACCGAUCUGGAACACCUCAGUCAAACUGAACGGCCCAUUUAGGAUCGACCCCGGCAACCUGAACCUCAUCCUGUACAACUGCACGGCGGCAGCGGCGGCCUCGGCACGUUGGGACAGAGGCCUCGUGCAGACGAGCGUGAGAUGCGCGAACGAGUGGGAGGUGCUUGUCCGCGCGGGAGUACCUCACGACGCCACAGGGGACUACGCCGGCUAUGCAUUGGAAGGCUGCGCUGCUACCGUCGUGCCCGUGUCGGGCUCGUCGGCGGGGCCGGGGAUAAACGGGAGCGGCUACGAGCAGCUCUUGAACGAUGGCUUCCGCUUGACAUGGAGUAGCCCGCCUCAGCCCACUCUCCUUCCACGUAGCAAGACAACUCGCACGAGGAUUAUAACAAUAGCUUUGAUAUCAGCAGCUGCAGCACUGCUCUUCCCAUGUAUUUAUGUGCUGAUAUGGUAUAUGACGGGUAAAAGAAACUGGUUUCUUCUCUGGAAAAAGAAAAGCAGCAGCGCUGAAAGGCAAUAUGAGGCCAUGAUAGCGUCGUAUGGAUCACUUGCUCCAAAAAGAUACACAUACUCAGAGGUAAUGAAGAUGACGUCUUCUCGCCAUAAGCAGCUUGGUCAAGGUGGUUAUGGUGUCGUUUUCGAAGGAAAGGUACCUGAUGGUCAUCUGGUUGCUGUGAAAUUCUUGCACGACUGCAAAGGGAAUGGGGAGGAGUUUGUGAAUGAGGUUAUGAGCAUUGGCAGGACCUCUCAUGUCAAUGUUGUUAGCCUGUUUGGAUUUUGUUUGGAGGGAUCAAAACGAGCUCUUAUAUAUGAGUACAUGUGCAAUGGUUCCUUGGAUAGAUACAUUUACUCAGACAACCCAAAAGAAAUUUUAGGAUGGGAGAGGCUGUAUGCGAUAGCGAUUGGGAUAGCCCGUGGACUGGAAUAUUUGCACCAUAGUUGUAAUACACGGAUCAUUCAUUUUGACAUUAAGCCUCAAAAUAUCCUUCUAGACAAGGAUUUUUGUCCAAAAAUUGCCGAUUUUGGUCUUGCAAAACUGUGCCGUAACAAGGAGAGCAAGCUUUCAAUGAUUGGUGCUAGAGGUACAAUUGGAUUCAUUGCUCCAGAAGUUCACUCACGAAACUUUGGACUUGUUUCAACAAAGUUAGAUGUUUAUAGUUAUGGAAUGAUGUUGCUAGAGAUGGUUGGAGGCAGGAAAAAUGUGAAAUCAAUGGCUGAAAAAUCAAGCGAAAAAUAUUUCCCAGAUUGGAUUUAUGAUCACUUUGCUCAAGACGAUGGAUUAGAAGCAUGUGAAGUUACAAAUGAUAUUGAGGAAAUUGCAAGUAAGAUGACCCUGAUUGGCUUGUGGUGCAUACAAGUAUUACCUGUGUAUCGUCCUAGUAUAACAAAAGUGGUAGAAAUGUUCGACAAAAGCUUAGAUGACAUGGCCAUGCCACCGAAGCAAAACUUCAGUGGACUACUCGAAAAUUCAGCUCACAAUAUGAACGUACAAAGUGCAAGCUCUAUGACAUCCGAGGAGAUAAGGCUUGUGAAUUCCGGAAGCACACAACAAUUUCCACCUCUUUGA